UGGACCGAGUUCAACAGGCGCAGCGCACUCUCACCAGGCAUCCACUCUGAAGUCCGACCAAGCCUGCUGACGAGGCUCAGUCGCAGGCUGAAGCACCGCCAAUGCCUCUCCCGUGCCAGGAUGCACAAAACUCCAGGCCAGCCGUUUGCAGAAUUUAGGGGUCACUUAAUCCCACAGGGCUUUUCAUGCCUGACAUCCUUGGCUCCCACCCACAAUGCGCACGCCUCUCAUCGCCUACGCCCAGCCCACACGUCCUCACCCUGGCACUGCCCUUUCCCCUCCCAUGACUCAUCCAGCCCAUCCCAACGUUUUCCUGCUAGUUCCCAGACGCUGCUCACUGGCUGCCCUGCCUGGACUGUCCCUGACCACGUGCCCCACACGGAGGAAACCAGGAGAACUACUGCCCUCCUCUGCCCAGGCCUGCUUACCACACCACCGAAUGGACAGUCUCCCCACUUUUAUUCCUUUGUAGCUUUAUAGGAAUUAAAAGUGGUGUAAAUCAUCAGUUCAUGGGUGGGGGACCUAUCACAGUUCUUCAAAUGGUAAUGGUAUUGGGAACUGAACCACACUGAGCUACAUCCCAAGUCGUCGUCAUCGUCGUGGUCUUCUUCUUCUCCUCCUCCUCCUCCUCCCCCUCCCCCUCUGCUGCCCCUCCCCCUCCCCUCUUCUUCUUCUUCUUUUUCUUCUUCUUCUUCUUCUUUUUCUUUUUCUUCUUCUUCUUUUCUUCUUCUUCUUCUUCUUCUUCUUCUUCUUCUUCUUCUUCUUCUUCUUCUUCUUCUUCUUCUUCUCUUCGUCUUCUUCUUCGUCUUCUUCUUCUUCUUCUUCGAGAAAGGCAGCCUGAAUAUUACAGAAUCAGAAAUUGGAAACGAUUGCUGUUGUUCAGAUUUCAAAAAUCAAGACCAAGAAACCGAAUCUGGGUGGCACUAACAAAGCUGUUAACAGUUCUCAGAUGCAGGGAGACCAAAUCAGUGUACAGUGCAUCCAACCACAAACUGGAGAGCAGCUCAAUUAAGAAAGGUAAAGUUGGGUCAAUUAGAAAAGGGAACACACCAGGUAUGGUGUGACACACCUGUAGUCCUGAGUACUUGGCAAGCUGAGGCAGAAGGGUUGAUCUCAAAUUCAAAGCCAGCCUGGAAAUCUUAGUGAGAACUUGUCUCAAAAUAAAAGAAUAAAAAAAGAUAUAUCUCAGUGGUAAAGCACCCUUGGGUUCAAUCUCCAAUACAAAAAAAGAAAAGAAAAAAGCAUAGAAACAAAGUAGGAAAGUAAAACUGUUAAAUAUAAGUGUCUCAAGAAGACUCUUGUGCUUUAGAUAUUUGAAAGACUUAAAAAAGAAUUAAAGGAUCAUAGAGGGAUAGGAGAGUAGCCAGCCCAUAAGGCUAAUGUGAGCCAAUAUAAAUGCUCCCUGACCUACUUUUUGUCCUUGCAAUAGUAUAAAAGGCAUGUGCAUGCAAUAUAAAAUGUACCUGGAAUUUUUUUAUUUUGAUUUUUCCUGGGCCAGCAGUACACAAUAUUAUAUAUGAUAUUAAACUGUAAUGGUGGACAGUGGAACUGACACUCUAGCGUACUGUAUUGCUCAGCUAGGAUGUUCAAUAGCAAGGUGUUUCCAACUAACUACAUUUUCCAUUUACAAUGGAUUUAUUGGAAGUCGAGGAACAUGAGUAGUUCUGUCUUUGUUUAGAUAAUUCUUAUCAACUACCUGGACACUGAAACUGAAACUCCUCUUAAUUUUCCUUUUCCUCUUACAUUAUGGAAAUAAAAAUGGAGAUUAACAUCAGCAUUAUAUUUAAUUAAAUAUAAAGAACUUUUCAAUGUUUUGGAACAAGAACUCACAAACUCUUUUUAUAAAGGAUCAGAGACAAAUUUGGCUGGGUGCAGUAGUGCAUGCCUGUAAUCUCAGCACUUGCCAGAAUGAGGCAGGAGGAUCACUGUACGUUUGAGGCCAGCUGGACUACAUAAACAAGUUCAAGGUCAGUCCUUACUGCAUAGUGAAACCCUGUCUCAAAAAAAUAAAAAUAUAAAAUAUAAAAUAAAUAAAGAAUAAAGGGUCAGGGACUAUAUAUGUUUGCGGGCUACCCCAGUCUAUGAUACAGGUGUUCAGUUCUGCUGUUUUGGUAUGAAUGUAGCCUUAGACAACAUGAAAUACAAUAGGCAUAUCUGUGUUUCAAUAAAACUCUUAUAAAAAGAGGCAAUGAGUUUGCUAAAACCUGCUCUAGAAUUCAGUUGUAUUAGACAUUGUUCCUUGCAAGUAUUAAAUCCAUAUCUAGAUUCUAAAAUAUUUUAUAUGCAUAUAAAUUUUAAUAUAAAGUUCUUAUAGAAAAUACAUUUCAAUUUGUCAGUAAUGUUUCACCUAAUAUUAAGUGCAAAUGAAUUUGAUUUUAAUUUCAUCUAUUUUUUCAUCUAAAGUUAGGUCCUAAUUUGCCUUUUUCUAUUUCAAAUCAUAAUGAUAUGAAAAGCAAUAAGACCAGUGAUUAGAAAAGCAUUUCCAAGAGACAAAGAUCAGUGAAAUACAUUUUUUAAAAGGUGAUGUUGGGAAGUGUUUUUUUUUCCUGGGUGCCUGUUUCAUUUUGUACUAUGGCAAAAAUAAGAAGCAUUUACUCUCUUUUGUGUAUAGUUUCCAGUAAGAAAUCAUUCUCCAAUUCUAUCCCCUGCUCAGGAUGCUAAGUGAACCUGUAGAGACAUAUUAUCUGUGGAGAAGUUCAAGAAGCCAAGUGAUCAAUUAUUUGCCAAAGAAGCAGAAUAUUGCUUACUUGCCUACAGACCUUGAAAAGAAACAAGAAAAAUUAGCAGGGGAAGAACAGAGAAAAAACUGAAAAGGUCUUAGAGUGUUAUCAAGCAUCUUACAAAACAGUUUAAUUUUCUCAGUCCAGAUGUAGCAAAAGAUAAUGAAUAAAUCAUGUUCCUAUUUGAUAAUAUGCUCUGUCAGGUUACUAUUUUGAGGGAAAACAAGGACUCUGAUGCCAAAAUGUUUUCCUUUAUUUGGUAGCUGUAACUUUUUCAAUAUUUUCAUUUAAUUAUUAACAAUAUUUUGUAACCACUUUUCACAUAUUGAGAGCUAAAAAGGGAUCAAUUACAGUCAUCUUUAAGUUCAUUCAAUUAGUAUUAUUGAGUAACUAUUACGCACCUAGCAAACAUCAAGAUGAUAGAUAUAGGAAAAGUAACAAAAAUAUCUCUUGUCAUGGAGCUCAUUAUUCAUUGGACAGAGGCAGAAAAUAAACUAGUAGUGUAAUAAGUAAUACAUUCAUUUCUAUACUUGAGGAUGGUAAAUGAUGAAUUCUGAAGGUGAGGACAGGGAACAAAAAGUUAAAAUACUUGACUAAGGUCAACAUAAGGGUCCUGAGGAGAUGAAAUUGUGAACACAGACUUAAAAUAAAAUGUAUAAGUUAGCCAAGAACAUACUUGGGUGAAGAACAACAUAUCAGAGAGUGUAUACAACUGGAGUUAAAGUCUGAAAAUAAAAGUAUUUCUGGAAAAUGGAAACUUGGUUAUAAGCUUGCAACUGGGAUAAGACAGGGUGUUACCUUGUAGGGAAGGAGUUCAGGGGUUAUAAAAUUUUAAGUUGCAGGUAGGAUAUACUUUGGGCAAUUCUAAUGUCCCGUUGUGAGUACAUUGAACAUCCAGUGCAAUUUUAAACAAACGUAAGAUAAAAUCUGACCUAUGUUUUAACAGGAUCAUUUUGGCUUCUAUGUUGUGCAUUGACUGAAGGAACUUGGUGUCAGAUACUGGUACAACAAAGUAUCUGAGACUGAGUAAUCCAUAAAGGACAUCAAUUUAUUUCUUCUAGUUCUAGAGUCUAGAUACAGCCACAUCUUCAUCAGCUCUGCCCUGAUUGACAAUUGCAAAAUCGUGUCUUCCCUGACUCUGAUGUGAUCUACUCCCAGUAUCCUCACUCAGCCAUCCAACCACAAAUCUCUUCUAUGGCUCUGCAUCAUCUGCAGCGGAAAUUCCCUGUGUACCUCUCCAGCUCGUCUCCCAUUUCCCGCUGGCUCCCACUUGAAACUCUAGCAGCUCUGCUCCACUGCUUGUUUUUCCUUUAAAGGUCUGUGCUAUUUUCCUUGCUGCCCAUCAUGCCGCAGUUCAUGUUGUUAAUGCCACCUUAAAGAUGUGAUGGCCUUCGCUUCCAUUUAUGACAUUGCUUUGUAAUUAUCUGUUUGCAUGACUCUUUUCUUUCUUGGACGACAUGUUUAAAUCACAUUACUAUCUAUGAGCAGAAUCCACUAUUUGAUUUGCCUCAUUGCGAAUGCUCAAUACAUAUUGACUAACUGGAAAUGAGAGUGCCCUCGAUGUAACUCUGUGAUUCCAAGAAGAGCAUUUUGCUUGCUGCUUGUCUAGGUCUUAAAUGUAAAGAGAACAAUAUAUCUAAGGAAAGAACUUACCGUGAGAUUAGCUAUGAGUUAAUGAUUCUGUUGCACCUAACACUCAAAGGUGUUAAUAUCUGUGUUGGUUACUUUUCUCUCAUUGCUGAGAUAAAAUACUUGAUGCCUAAAAUUAAGGAGGGAAAGAUUUAUUUAGCUCAUGGUUUGUGGAGGUUUCAGUCUAUAACCAAGAUAGGGUGGCACAUAGCAGAGGGCAAAGAUGGCUGCAGAAGACACCAAAAGCAACAAGAGCAAAAGAGGAGGAACACGUGAAGAGAAGACUCUUUCUGACCCUUAUUUUACAUGUGGGCCACACUCAUUUGUGUGCAGACUUAAGCCCAUAAUCACAGCAUAGGAGCCAUGAAUCGUUCACACACUCUGGAAGCCUGACCCUGUGACCACAUGAGGCUUUGUGGGAGGAUACCCAGAAACAAACCAUAACACUCUUCCCCUGGCCCCCCAAGGACUCAUGCACAUCCUUUAUACAAAAGACAUUUAGUCCAUCUCUAAGAUCUUCCAAAAUCCUAGAAGUCUGAGCAUUGCUGAAAAGUCCAAAUCCCAAGUCUCCUCCAAGGCAUAAGGCAAACUUACCUACAAGCUCCUGUGCAAAUGAAAAGUUAAACACUUCCAACAUUCAAUGGCACAAAAUAAAUAUUACCAUUCUAAAAGAUACAAACAGAGGAAUACCAAAGAAUGGAACCUAAUCAAGUUCAAAGUCCAGCAGGGAAGACAUUGAGUUCUGCAGUUCCAUGUGGAACACCUGAAGUAAUGUGUUGUAAAUUGUAAGCUCCAAAAGGGUUCUGUGAUCCCACCCCUAUGGCACUUCUGGUGAUUGUAGCUCCCAGGGCUUCUCUCUUAGGCCUGAUCUGCUCAGUCUUUGCAAUUUUCCUUAGAUGAUCCACAUUUGUGGCUUUUCCAAACAUCUGGGUUCUCCAUUGCACCUUUGGUUUACCCUCACAGCUACACACAUUGCCUUCUCAGGGGCACACUGCCUGGACUUCCAAAGCCCUCUUCUGAAAUCUGGGUGGAAGCCUUUUAACCUCAGGACUCUUGCAUUCUGCCUCCACCUAAAACCAGUAAUAUGUGGAAGAUGCCAAGGUCUGCUGCCAGCUGGAGCAGUAGCCAGGGUUUCUUCUGUCCUGGCUGUAGGAGCUGAGUGCCUGGAUUAUUGAGCACUCUGAAUCUGAUUCUGGGGUAUUAAAAGAACUCAGAGGAAGAUGCUUUUAACAUGCUGGCUGUACUACUCAAACUACUAUACUGUUAAUCUCUCUUAUUUUCAUCUGCAUUGAAUUCCUAGCUUAUAUUUAUUCAGCAAAUAUUAGUCAUUUUAUUUAUCAAAGAUAAUCCCAGAGCAUAAAACUACCCAAUCUAAAACUAUCAUACUUACUAUGAUUGCCAUAACAGUGAUCCUUUUAUAAGUGUGUCAGUUGAUUUAUGUGGCUCAAAACAUUCAGAGUUAACACUAGUUCAAUUCAGGAGCUUUAACAAAAAGGAAGUUGAAGAUAACGAAGGUGGUAAUGGAGAAUCUGCUUUGAAGGACAAGCCAUAGGCAUAGCAGUUUCUCUCCUGGAACCACCUGUACUUCUCUGAAUGAGUAUCUGUGACUGCUCUAGGAAUAUGAGGUGUAGCCAGCAAAUGGGUAGAAGCCUUCUAGAGGAAUAAAAUGAUAAUUUUCCUUACAGGAAGUAAAAUAAUAAAAUGCAGUAAAGGAAACACUUAAAAUAUCUCUCAAAAAAUGCUAAGUAUCAUCUUUCUAUCUAGAAAAUGGGCACACAGGGAAAAAAUGAAUGCCAACAAUUCAACUAAAACCAUCAAUAAUUUUAAUUUUUCCUGCAGUUUUAAACCUACUGAUUUGUUCUGAUUACUCAUGUUGUAUCUAGAAAAUCUUUUUAAAAUGUGUUAGUACUGUCAAUUGAUCUUUGGAAGAAAAAAAUGCCAGAAACUCGAAAAAUACUGUUAUAACAUGUUACCCAUCUCUAAACAAAGGAGCAACAAUUAAUUUAUCAUGCUUUGUUUAGUUUUGCUUUGCUUUAUUUUGAAAUGCAUAUGUAGAUAUUACUAACCAUGCAAGUCUGCUGCUUGGUUUGUUGCCAGGAGAUGCUAAUCAUUUUUAUAGUUUAAGCAAUAAUGUUUCAUAUACACUUACAAACAUAUGCAUUUGACAUAAGCAGAGGCAGUAAUUAAAUGGUUUAAACAGCUUACAUUUAAAUUUAAAUGAAAUGUUAAUAAACUCUCCCAUGACAAUAA